rnacentral:rRNA from 1 species
CCUACGGGGUGCUGCAGUGGGGAAUAUUGGACAAUGGGCGAAAGCCUGAUCCAGCCAUGCCGCGUGUGUGAAGAAGGCCUUCGGGUUGUAAAGCACUUUCAGUGGGGAAGAAAGCCUUGGGGCUAAUACCCUCGAGGAAGGACAUCACCAACAGAAGAAGCACCGGCUAACUCCGUGCCAGCAGCCGCGGUAAUACGGAGGGUGCGAGCGUUAAUCGGAAUUACUGGGCGUAAAGCGCGCGUAGGCGGUCUGAUAAGCCGGUUGUGAAAGCCCCGGGCUCAACCUGGGAACGGCAUCCGGAACUGGCAGGCUAGAGUGCAGUAGAGGAAGGUAGAAUUCCCGGUGUAGCGGUGAAAUGCGUAGAGAUCGGGAGGAAUACCAGUGGCGAAGGCGGCCUUCUGGACUGACACUGACGCUGAGGUGCGAAAGCGUGGGUAGCAAACAGGAUUAGAUACCCCAGUAGUC